ACGAACGCUGGCGGCGUGGAUAAGACAUGCAAGUCGAACGAGAGAAUUGCUAGCUUGCUAAUAAUUCUCUAGUGGCGCACGGGUGAGUAACACGUGAGUAACCUGCCCCCGAGAGCGGGAUAGCCCUGGGAAACUGGGAUUAAUACCGCAUAGUAUCGAAAGAUUAAAGCAGCAAUGCGCUUGGGGAUGGGCUCGCGGCCUAUUAGUUAGUUGGUGAGGUAACGGCUCACCAAGGCGAUGACGGGUAGCCGGUCUGAGAGGAUGUCCGGCCACACUGGAACUGAGACACGGUCCAGACACCUACGGGUGGCAGCAGUCGAGAAUCAUUCACAAUGGGGGAAACCCUGAUGGUGUGACGCCGCGUGGGGGAAUGAAGGUCUUCGGAUUGUAAACCCCUGUCAUGUGGGAGCAAAUUAAAAAGAUAGUACCACAAGAGGAAGAGACGGCUAACUCUGUGCCAGCAGCCGCGGUAAUACAGAGGUCUCAAGCGUUGUUCGGAAUCACUGGGCGUAAAGCGUGCGUAGGCUGUUUCGUAAGUCGUGUGUGAAAGGCGCGGGCUCAACCCGCGGACGGCACAUGAUACUGCGAGACUAGAGUAAUGGAGGGGGAACCGGAAUUCUCGGUGUAGCAGUGAAAUGCGUAGAUAUCGAGAGGAACACUCGUGGCGAAGGCGGGUUCCUGGACAUUAACUGACGCUGAGGCACGAAGGCCAGGGGAGCGAAAGGGAUUAGAUACCCCUGUAGUCCUGGCAGUAAACGGUGCACGCUUGGUGUGCGGGGAAUCGACCCCCUGCGUGCCGGAGCUAACGCGUUAAGCGUGCCGCCUGGGGAGUACGGUCGCAAGAUUAAAACUCAAAGAAAUUGACGGGGAUCCGCACAAGCGGUGGAGUAUGUGGCUUAAUUCGAUGCAACGCGAAGAACCUUACCUGGGCUUGACAUGUAAUGAACAACAUGUGAAAGCAUGCGACUCUUCGGAGGCGUUACACAGGUGCUGCAUGGCCGUCGUCAGCUCGUGUCGUGAGAUGUUUGGUUAAGUCCAGCAACGAGCGCAACCCCUGUUGCCAGUUACCAGCACGUGAAGGUGGGGACUCUGGCGAGACUGCCCAGAUCAACUGGGAGGAAGGUGGGGACGACGUCAGGUCAGUAUGGCCCUUAUGCCCAGGGCUGCACACGUACUACAAUGCCCAGUACAGAGGGGGCCGAAGCCGCGAGGCGGAGGAAAUCCUGAAAACUGGGCCCAGUUCGGACUGUAGGCUGCAACCCGCCUACACGAAGCCGGAAUCGCUAGUAAUGGCGCAUCAGCUACGGCGCCGUGAAUACGUUCCCGGGUCUUGUACACACCGCCCGUCACAUCAUGGAAGCCGGUCGCACCCGAAGUAUCUGAAGCCAACCGCAAGGAGGCAGGGUCCUAAGGUGAGACUGGUAACUGGGAUG
rnacentral:rRNA from 1 species